rnacentral:lncRNA from 1 species
AGAUCAUAAAUAAAACUGAAAUACCUGAACCAAACUCAACUGGGGAAGAAUGAACUUCAACACAUGAGUAUCAACAUUACAUUACCUAUUACCGGUUACUAGGUAGGAAGAUAAUGUAUUCUGUUAGAGGGACAUCCGUUACCGAUUAGGGUAAACAUAUCAAGGAUGACUCCCUGAGGAAAGGGAGGUAUGUUUGUUAUCGGUUACUGGGUAAGAACAACCUGCUGCGGAAAAUAUCAAAUAGGAUUUAAAAAUAUCGGUUACUGGGCAGAAG